rnacentral:rRNA from 1 species
CCUACGGGAGGCAGCAGUGGGGAAUAUUGGGCAAUGGGCGCAAGGCUGACCCAGCAACGCCGCGUGAAGGAAGAAGGCUUUCGGGUUGUAAACUUCUUUUCUCAGGGACGAAGCAAGUGACGGUACCUGAGGAAUAAGCCACGGCUAACUACGUGCCAGCAGCCGAGGUAAUACGUAGGUGGCAAGCGUUCUACGGAUUUACUGGUUGUAAAGGGUGUGUAGGCGGGGACGCAAGUCAGAUGUGAAAAGCACGGGACCAACCUGUGGCCUGCAUUUGAAACUGUGUUUCUUGAGUACUGGAGAGGUAGACGGAAUGCGUGGUGUAGCGGUGAAAUGCGUAGAUAUUAGGAGGAACACCAGUGGCGAAGGCGGUCUGCUGGACAGCAACUGACGCUGAGGCGCGAAAGCGUGGGGAGCAAACAGGAUUAGAUACCCCUGUAGUC